UAUCUAGAUACCAUCGUUUUUUCACUUUAUUAGCUGCAAGACACCCCUGCAAUAAAGAUCAAGAAAGAGCUUUAGGUACACAAACUAUGUUGGGUCCUUUAGGGUUAGUACUUGAUGUUCCUUUUGGAACCCAAACUUUCUUGAAUUUAAUCUUAUGAUUAUUACUCAAUUUGUUUUGACUGAACUUUCUAUAGUUACAUUCAUAUGCUUUAUGUCCUAAUUUAUUGCAGCAAUGACAAGUAAUAUUUUCAUUUUUAGCUUUAACAAAAAUAUUCUUUAAGUAUUUUUGUUUCCUAUUUGUUUUAUAACCUAAUCCAGCCUUAUCAUAUACAGCUUUUUGACUAUCAAGAAU
rnacentral:lncRNA from 1 species